GGAGAGUUGGCUGAGUGGUCGAAAGCGGCGGUCUUGAAAGCCGUUAUCCCGUUUGUCGGGAUCGGGGGUUCGAAUCCCUCACUCUCCGCGA
rnacentral:tRNA from 1 species